UUUUGCACUUUUUGCAUGUAGCCCCUUGGUUUUGACCAUUUGAAGUGGCUGUAUCUUCCCAAUUCCUGUGCCCCAAUUGUAGCUUGGAAGUAACUAACUUGCUUUGGAUUUACUGAUUCAUAGAUGGAAGGGACUUGCCUUGUGUCAGAUAUGAUAUUGGACUGUGGACUUUUGAGUUAAUGCUGAAAUGAGUUAAGACUUUGGGGCGCUGUUGGGAAGACAUGAUUAGUUUUGAAAUGUGAGGACUUGAGAUUUAAGAGGGAACAGGGAGGAAUGAUAUGGUUUGGCUGUUUUCCCAUCCAUAUCUCACCUUGAACUGUAACUCCCACAGUUCCUACAUGCUGUGGGAGAAACCCAGUGUGAUGUGAUUGGAUUACAGGACUGGCCUUUCCUAUGCAGUUCUCAUGGUAGGGAAUGAGUUUCACAAGAUCUGAUGGUUUUAAAAUUGGGAGUUUCCCUGCACAAGCUCUGUUAUUUUCUCUGCUGCCAUGUGAGACAUGCCUUUCGCCUUCCACCAUGAUUGUGAGCCCCCCCCAGCCACGUGGAACUUUGAAUUCUAUCUUCUGAGGAGGCAUGAAUUGAGGUUGCUGCAGACCCAUUGGAAUUCACUGUCAGUACUUGGACACCUUCUACUGGAAGCGAGUUGGAAUGUGGGAAGCCAGACGCAGGAUGACUGUGGUCAGAAAUUAUUCUUCGUGACCAAAUUGGCUGAAAACUGGUGAGUCCAAGAUGACAGCUCACUUAACUAUGACUAACUUCAUUAUUAUCUAAUUUCCGUGCUAAAUAACACUCUCACCAGCACCGUGACAGUUGACAGUCACCAUGACAAUGACUGGAAGAAACCAUACAAAGGCAAACAGGAAGGUGGCACUCCAGUUCCAAGAAGUUGUCCACCCAUUCUCAGGAAAUGCAUGAAUAUUUCUCCCAUUGCUUGUAAUGCCCAACGCCUUCAUGAAAGGUGAUCUGUAUCUGUGAACUUCCUGGUCUCAAGGCUGAGAAGUUGACCUGUGAGUCACACUCUUGCUUCUCAGUUCCAUGGCCAUUGAUUAAGCCUGCGCUGCUUGACACUCUCUUUCCAUUUCACAUAUUGGCUUCACAACACUGACAGCUCUGACAGGGAAAGAUCUCAUAUUUUGGAAGAUCAGCUUUGUUGGUAACAAUUUUAUCAUAGGACAGAUAUGUAGGUCGAUGGAAGAGGAUAAUGUCCAGCAUUAGUGCUAC
rnacentral:lncRNA from 13 species